CUUCACUGGGAACAGCACUGCCAUUGAAGGAGUCUGCAAACUCUGCAGAAGAAGCUAACUCACAAGCUGGAGUUACACAACAAGCUUCAAAAUAGCAUCAUUGAGAGAACUGGCUGGAAACCCUGGAGAACCCUAUGCCAUGGUUGCUGAGAAGCUGUGAAGAUGAUAUCUGUGUCUGUUUUCCUGCAGCUGCUCCCUUUCUUCUGAACAAGAGAAGAAGCUUCCUUUCCUACAUGACAAUAUGAGUUUUGUGCUCCAUUGAUAAAGCAGCUUCUAGUAUCUCACUAUCAUGGCAGUCCAGCAUGUCAUUAUGGUGAUAUCAGAUGCCAGCACCGGAGGAGGUCUUCAUGAAGUUUCAUGCAAGGUAGAAGUUGUAUACACUAUCACUGUUACAGAAAAUGGAAACUAUUUUCUCAAGCCUCAUGCACGUCAAACUCCAUGGUUUAUACUAAAAGCAGAUUUUAUAGCCUGUUUUGUACACUUCAUGUUUCCUGUGCCAAGGAACCGCAAGAUAGAAAACCUGCAACCUGUGAAGUUCCUCUGCCUCAGAACUCUGUGUAGCAUCGUCGCCGAUAGUUUCCAGCACGGCAGCACACACUUCCAGCUCUCUAAUAUGUGGUUCAGCUACAGGGUGACUGAGGUGGUGAUUCAGUAGGUUGCAAGCUUCCCUCUGUCAAUAUUGAACUUAUGCCCCACUAUCCAGGUAUGCAUCACUGUAUAAAGGACUAUCCUUCUGAUUGGGAUACAAGAGUAAGGCAGCAAUUGAUUACUGUUGUUCUGGAUCCCAUGGCAGUUAAUUUUUUCAUGGGUGGAAAUAUUAACUUCUGGGAGCUGGCCAGAUUUCAGUUUGGAGGAAUACAUUCUGCUUAAGCUUUCUUUUCCUGUCCUUACGCUGGUUUAUAUUCUUGCUGUUCCGAUGGCUUCUUUCCACAUGACACAAGGCUGCACACCCUUGGGUGGGAGAUGAUUUCUCUGGAUCCAAGGAACAGGGGAUGUAAUCCCCAUUAUUGAAGAGUUCAUUCACCCUCUGUCCAAAAGCACAACAAUCUAGAGAUGUUUGAGAUUAGUUCUGGGUUCUCACAUGAUAUCUGCUGGCAAAAGAACACGCACGUGACAGGGUAGAGCAAAUAUAAGCUUACCGUGUGGCUUGUUACCACAAUGCAGGCCACUUGGAAACAUCAGUUAAUUCUAACAAAGGUAUGUUGCUAAUAGGAGCUGUAUGCUGCAAGAAGCACAUAAAACCAGUUCUCCUAUGUUUCUACUGGUUCCAUUUUAGGUAACCAAGCUAUAUAAUUAUUUUAUAAUUCUGGUCUAAUAUUAAGUGUUGAUUCUGAUAUUUGUAAAAACCUUCCAUACUUCAGAUGUUUGGUAGUUGAGAAGCA